UCCGAUUGUUUACUUAACAGAUUUGCUUGGUUUCAGCAGCUGGUUGCACCCCUAUAUAUUCUAUAUAUACUCUUCUUGUUAAAGCAAAGCUGUCCAUCACAAUAUGGCAUUCAGCGUAAUAUAUGCUGCUUGCUAAACUGCUGGACAGAACAAACAAAAAAAAAAAAAAAAAAAAAGAGUGGGCCACCUGUUAUGGGAAAAAUUGUCUCUUCCUUAUUUCUAUGUCUCUCCCUUACUUCUAUGCAGUUAUUAUAUGAUUUAUGACUUAUGUUCUGCAAUUAAUAUCUUAUGUUUUGCCUUACUGUAUGCAUUUGACAUUUCACCUACAUUGUUCAAUGGUUGUCUCUGCCUGAUAGACUCUCAACUCUAGCUCCCAAACCCAAGGUCGGGGAGUUGUGUCUCUGUCUGUUGAGACUUGGUGCUCCUUUCUCACAGAUAGUUGGACGUCAGCGAUGUAGGUGUGAGAAAGUAAAAAGUCUUCACACACACUGCAACAGGGAGGAGAUGGUGCAUGUAAUUUGAUUGGGUUAGAAAGACAUUCCACCCUAGUCGGACAGAGAAGCUAAAAGGCAGAAGCAACUUUAGGAUCGUGGGCUCUUUGCAUCACACCUUCGUGGUGUGUGCACUGAUCUCCCAGCUGGUUUUUGGUUUGUUGAUGUGCACGAUCAACAUCCAUGCUUUUUAUUUGCUUUCCCCAUUAUUUUUAUUUUCUUUAUUAUUUCAAUAAAUCGCACAAAAGGACAACUCUCUCAUCUACUUCUUUAUGGAAAAUUUCCACCACAGAAAUUGGCGUUGUCGGCAGGAUCCCGCGGCAGGUCGUCUGGACGGUGUGACCAGGGACGAUAGUCCUGAGGACUAGGGUCGCUCAGCCUCCAAACCUCUACAGACAUUCAGAGCUGGGAGGACUGCUCACCCGUCUGGAUCGCCUCUGACGAGAUCCACGAACUCAGAUUCAAACUCAAAUCCUAAUUUGGCCCGGUGAGAGAGAUUCCUUUCGAUUCGGGAAAAAACAAAAAGAUUGGAACUUUUAUUUUUAAUUUAGCUGAAACAUUUCAAUUGGUUGAAAAAAAAGGAAAGAAAUCUUCUAUUUGGUUGAAACACUAAAUUUGAUUAGGAAAAUUAAUUAGAUCGAGAAGAAAAAAAAAAUCCCAAUAAUACGUGUUCUUAAUUAGGUGAAAGUCUGCUCUGGGUGGUGAGACGUCGGUUGCUAAGGGUUGGCUCGUGGAACCGAGCUUCCGUCUGUACUGAGGAUACAGACAUGUUUUUUUUGAUCUGUGCGUGGUCCACAUGUGGGGGACUGAGUAUAAAAGACGGCUUCUGAAAGAGGGAGCGCGUUCGCAGAGUGAAGUAUUUUCAAGAUACGAGGGACCCGGGCCUAGAGGGGCCUAACGUUGAGGAAAUACUUCGUGAAAGGCUCUGUCGCCAGAUCAGGUUGGUUCCCUUUUUACGGAGACGUCCGAUAAAAAGGCAUUUUGGGAAGGUUCCGGCCGGAACACACAAAAAAUCUAAGGCAGGAAACCGCCGGACUCUGAAAGACGGUUUCGGGGCAAUUUGAGUCUUCACCACCAGACAGAAACCGUACAAAACUAAACAACUGAGCGCGAUGAGGGUAAAUCCGGAUCUGGACUCCUUUCCCACCAUCAGCAGAAGAACCGAAGGAGAAGAAGCGCCUGACCAACAACCAGAACAGGGUGGAAGCUCUGACACCACAGCAGCUGGAGGACACAGACCACAGCAUGGACGCCUCAGCGACUCUCACAACGUCUGCAGCCAUCACGUUCUGGGCUCCUCAGAUGAACCAGCUACUACAAGCGUGUGUGUCUGACAGACACCUGCUUAUGACAAUCAGCAAAGGAAAACAAGGACAGAGCAACAGCAGAGAAGACGUGCUCUGACACGGACACUGGUUGAAACAACAGGAGAGGCUUCAGACGUGAUCGGCCCAAUAGAGCUGCAUGCGAGGAUCCAGGAAAGGUCUGUCAUCGAGGAACAACUGUCCCAUCGAAAGGCUUCACCCGCUGGCGCUCACAUCAGACUGAUGGUUGGGGAAGGAGGAAGGUGACGGUUCCUUUUCACGUGACGUACAAGACAGUACCGCAAACACACACACACAUUUAUACACGCAAUGAAGAAACACGCUUACAGCUGAUACACGCUCAAAUUCAUGUUCAUGCUUAUCUGCUCGCAAUGAAGAAUCGCUUUCUGCUCAAAAAAAUCCCAGAGUGAUUUUAAAAUGAUGACAAACAGCUAAAUGACAACUGCUGCAUGACUUUACAGUCUGAUGGGUUUAAACUAUUUUAACUUGCAACAAAUUCAGUAAUAAAAUCCUUCAUGUUUCUAAAAAUACUUGUGCACAAUAUAGGUUUGUCUGGCCAGACUGUAGAAAAACAAAAUCAGACUAUAGAAAAACAAAACAGACUGUAGAAAAACAAAACAGACUGUAGAAAAAACAAAAAAACAGACUAUAGGACGACUGAAACUGACCGAGACUGACUGAAACAGACUAUUAAUGACUAUUAAAGGGAAGACGACUAUUAGAGAGAAGUAAUAAUAAUUACUGUACGUACCAGACUAUUAAAGAAAAACUUAUUCUUUCACUGUCUUGUGCAACAUCUGACAGCAAGACACCUUAACAUUCAUUUUUGCUUUCAAACUUAUGCCCAGUUAAAUUUUUAGGAAGAGAUUUCAUGUGUAAAUUAGGUAUUUGAUUGAUUUCCACUCCAGACGGAGUGCAGGUUACAUCUACAGACAUUCUAAAUAAUCCCUCUUUUGUUGGUGUUAACUUCAGCUCAGCUGUGCUCUUAUCAUUGGCUGCUGAGGGGGGGCUGUAACUGAGGCCCUCACACAGGCUGCAUCACAGCUUGUUUAUGAUUUCACACACACACACUGACAAACUGGCCUCAACUUCCCUCUUUUGGGAUGAACACAGGUCUGCGCUUGCGAUUUCUUUUACUAACGAACAAAAAGAUUUUUGAUGUUUAUUCUACAGCUCCACACGUCCCUCUGUGAAAACAUGAUGGAGUCAGAUGACAGGACGUGGGUCCUUUCGUGAACAGAUGUCAACGGGGUGGAGACUGGUGAACGACUUCUGACCCCAUGUGACGUAUUCACCUACUUUGCAUACUUUAAAAAAAAAAAACUUUUUUUUAUUCUGCCUGUCAUGUGCAGCAAACAGUGAACUGGGUACCUCCACAUUCUAAUGACACACAUUACACGCUUUUGUUUUUAUUUUCAUUUCAGAGGACGCUCUGACCCAACACUCAGCCUUACAGGAAGCCCUGCUUCCCUGUGGCUCACACACAGACAUGAUGUAGGUUUGAUCAGAGGAUGUGAACCAGUGGUCAUCACACCUAAAUCUGACCACAAACCAUGUAAACAACAGCACCCUCUUAAAGGAAGCUAUAGAUGGCGUUACUGCAGACACCACUAAGCUACUGAAACAUUGGAUGCUACAGGCCACAAAGAGCCUGUCUAAAUUACAGUUAGUUCAGACAAAGGUUAUUUUCUGGGUUAUUGUAAUUACAGCUGAUGGCAAAUCCAUCUCACCCAACAGAGUUAAAGCAAUGUGAAACCUGCCUAAACCGUGCACGUAAAAACGGCUGAUGUCUUUUCUAGGUCUUUGUUCUUAUUGUAGGACUUUCGUUCCUAACUUUAAUGUCUUUGAGGCCCCACUCAGGGUUCUGAUGCAGACGUCUUCAUCGUCCACUUCUUGUCUCACGUGGACGUCUGAGGCUGAACAACGUUCACCGACCUCAUGCUUGCUCUUCAGUUGGCUCCUACUUUGGGUCUCCCUGAUCUGACCCUACGCGACCUUUCACUCAAACAGUGGAUGAGAAAUCAGGUUGUACGACUUCUGUUCUUUUGUCCUCAUACUGUGUCUUCGAUUCUUUUGAAAAACAUCACAUCUUUCCACAGCUCGACGGCUUAGAUACAACACCACCUUACUCAACAUGCUGAACGUUACUAUCAAGAGGUCGUCUUGAAGUCUGGCACUUUGCUAAGACACUACUCUGCUCAGGCUGCAGAGUUGAUCGCGUUGACUGAAGCUAGUAAACUAGCAGAAGGAGAGACUGUUACCAUCUACAGACUCCACAGAUGCUUGUCACACGUUGGUUCUCUGUGGAAGCAUGGGAAGCUUUGAAGUCUGAUUGCAAACCUAUCUUACAUCAUGAUUAGGUUCUGCUUUGCUGGACGCUGUCCUGCUACAGUACCUACAGCUAAUGCUGUUUGUAACUGUCCGACUCACAACAUCAGUGAUGACUUUGUUUCUGCCGACAUGCAGCUGCAGACGCUGCUGCGAAGGUCACUGCCCGACAACCCCUCCCUCUCCUGAUCCUUGUUUCCUCUCCUGAUCCUUGUUCCCUCUCUCCAACUCUCUCUAUCCUUUCCUUCCUCUCUCCCUGUGCUUUAAACAUUUUGUACCUCACAGGAACUCAGACUCUGGCUGACGAAUGGUUCCACCUGUAGCCAUGGAGUCUGGUUUGGGCCUGAUGGAAGCAGUGCCGCCCAAACACUUUUUCCCCACAAUUCAGAUUUCCCAACAGGUGAAAACAGGCGACAGGACCAUUACACCAUCCAACCAGGGCACGGGCGAUCGUUAAGGAGUUCAGGAGGAAACACUGGAACUUCAAACGGUGGCAAGGCCCCUUCCAGGACCUUCUGACGACCAACACGACUGUGAAGAUCGCAGAAAGAGCGACUUGGAUCAACUCCAUCCAGGAAGGUCCCGGAUCCAACAGACGACCCUCCAUCUACACCACACGAGAAAACCACCACUGACGAAAAGAACUGAGAAGGACGACCCUCGCUGUGCUCACACACGCACUGAGGCGAGGCUGCGUUGACCGUUCAGCUAAAGGUGUGAGCCAAGCGCCGCCUGAAGCUGCGCCGGUGAAUCACACUAUCAGACCAUACAUCUACACACACGCUCCUGAGAAAACACACACACGAGCAGCCUUGAGUUGCCGACGCUGGACGACGUGUAGACUCUUCACAUCACGGGAGUGACAGUGACUCAGACGACAUUGGGAGGAAACCUGGCGGUGAUAACGAACCCCAAGUGUCUCUGUGAUCAGCUGAUCACAACCUGAAGAACCCCAACGAACUGGCAAUACAUCAACACACAGGUUGGAAACAAUCUAACGCUACUGUUCAACAGGAAGAAGCAGAUUGUUACAAGACAUCAAUUGUAACCUCGUUGCGUUAGACAUUUUAUGUUACUCUGAUUAUUGCCUUGAUCAUAUGAUGUUUCCAUGUAACUUUACACAACACUUUUGAAUGAGAAACUUUCACAUAAUUCACAACACUGAGUUUAAAUAUUAAUUUGAUGUUUCAUUUGCUCACAAUCACUUUAUUCACUGCUACAAAAAUUUUUAUCCUUCAUCUACAGAUGAAAGACAACACAAGCGGCAAUAUGCAUCAUCAUUCUGGUUAAAUCCCUGAAUCUCCUAUUCAUUAUAUAUUUAUACAUUAAUUGUCUUUAUUACAUUACAAUUGAAUGGCCGUAGACACGUUGUUAGCAGAGAAAAGAGGCGUUUGUGUUAUGUUUGGAGACGCAUGUUGUACUUACAUCCUGAAUAACACUGAUUCUAAUGGUAUUGUGGCGAAGGCGCUACACGGCCUUCAGAGUCUCAGCUAACUCUGGUAUAGGUUCUUUCCCUUGGAAUUGACUAGACGAAACGUCUGGAAAAUGGAAAUCUGUUCUCAUGUCUGCAGCUGUUUCCUUUAUCAUUGAGAUGGCUGUGAUUCUCUUGUUUGGUUUUUGUGUUAUCCCACUGGUUAGAGGUCUCAUCAUGCGUGUGACUUCAGCAACACUCUCGUAUCAAAUGACACAAUGCACUAUGUUCAAAAACCCCAACUCUAACUCACUUAAUGACUUUGACGAUGGUAUGGGCUCAUUUUCUUCGCAUGCCGAUAGAGAGGUUAUUCUUGUAUAACUAUCCACCAAAAACAGCUCCCAACCUUUUGUCCCUAAGUUACUUGCAUUUUAUGUGAAGGUGUAUUUUGAAUCUUGAUGAGUUAAUACCCUUAUUGUUUCAUUUGCAAGGAUCUUUUAUUAUUACAGAAUGUGAUGUUGACAAUUUUAUUCUUUUAGUGGUUGAUUAAUGUGUAAUCAAAAGGGGGGAGUGUUAUGGGAAAAAUUGUCUCUUCCUUAUUUCUAUGUCUCUCCCUUACUUCUAUGCAGUUAUUAUAUGAUUUAUGACUUAUGUUCUGUAAUUAAUAUCUUAUGUUUUGUCUUACUGUAUGCAUUUGACAUUUCACCUACAUUGUUCAAUGGUCGUCUCUGCCUGAUAGACUCUCAACUCUAGCUCCCAAACCCAAGGUCGGCGAGUUGUGUCUCUGUCUGUUGAGACUUGGUGCUCCUUUCUCACAGAUAGUUGGACGUCAGCGAUGCAGGUGUGAGAAUGUAAAUAUCUUCACACACACUGCAACAGGGAGGAGAUGGUGCAUGUAAUUUGAUUGGGUUGGAAAGACAUUCCACCCUAGUCGGACAGAGAAGCUAAAAGGCAGAAGUAACUUUAGGAUCGUGGGCUCUUUGCAUCACACCUUCGUGGUGUGUGCACUGAUCUCCCCAGCUGGUUUUUGGUUUGUUGAUGUGCACGAUCAACAUCCAUGCUUUUUAUUUGCUUUCCCCAUUAUUUUUAUUUUCUUUAUUAUUUCAAUAAAUCGCACAAAAGGACAA